rnacentral:rRNA from 1 species
GACGAACGCUGGCGGCGCGCCUAACACAUGCAAGUCGAACGAGCGAGAGAGAGCUUGCUUUCUCGAGCGAGUGGCGAACGGGUGAGUAACGCGUGAGGAACCUACCUCAAAGAGGGGGACAACAGUUGGAAACGACUGCUAAUACCGCAUAAGCCCACAGCUCGGCAUCGAGCAGAGGGAAAAGGAGCAAUCCGCUUUGAGAUGGCCUCGCGUCCGAUUAGCUAGUUGGUGAGGUAAUGGCCCACCAAGGCAACGAUCGGUAGCCGGACUGAGAGGUUGAACGGCCACAUUGGGACUGAGACACGGCCCAGACUCCUACGGGAGGCAGCAGUGGGGAAUAUUGCACAAUGGGGGAAACCCUGAUGCAGCGACGCCGCGUGGAGGAAGAAGGUCUUCGGAUUGUAAACUCCUGUUGUUGAGGAAGAUAAUGACGGUACUCAACAAGGAAGUGACGGCUAACUACGUGCCAGCAGCCGCGGUAAAACGUAGGUCACAAGCGUUGUCCGGAAUUACUGGGUGUAAAGGGAGCGCAGGCGGGAAGACAAGUUGGAAGUGAAAUCUAUGGGCUCAACCCAUAAACUGCUUUCAAAACUGUUUUUCUUGAGUAGUGCAGAGGUAGGCGGAAUUCCCGGUGUAGCGGUGGAAUGCGUAGAUAUCGGGAGGAACACCAGUGGCGAAGGCGGCCUACUGGGCACCAACUGACGCUGAGGCUCGAAAGUGUGGGUAGCAAACAGGAUUAGAUACCCUGGUAGUCCACACCGUAAACGAUGAUUACUAGGUGUUGGAGGAUUGACCCCUUCAGUGCCGCAGUUAACACAAUAAGUAAUCCACCUGGGGAGUACGACCGCAAGGUUGAAACUCAAAGGAAUUGACGGGGGCCCGCACAAGCAGUGGAGUAUGUGGUUUAAUUCGACGCAACGCGAAGAACCUUACCAAGUCUUGACAUCCCUUGACGAACAUAGAAAUAUGUUUUCUCUUCGGAGCAAGGAGACAGGUGGUGCAUGGUUGUCGUCAGCUCGUGUCGUGAGAUGUUGGGUUAAGUCCCGCAACGAGCGCAACCCUUACUGUCAGUUACUACGCAAGAGGACUCUGGCAGGACUGCCGUUGACAAAACGGAGGAAGGUGGGGAUGACGUCAAAUCAUCAUGCCCUUUAUGACUUGGGCUACACACGUACUACAAUGGCGUUAAACAAAGAGAAGCAAGACCGCGAGGUGGAGCAAAACUCAGAAACAACGUCCCAGUUCGGACUGCAGGCUGCAACUCGCCUGCACGAAGUCGGAAUUGCUAGUAAUCGUGGAUCAGCAUGCCACGGUGAAUACGUUCCCGGGCCUU